GAUGAACGCUAGCGACAGGCUUAACACAUGCAAGUCGGAGGGGCAGCACAGGUAGCAAUACCGGGUGGCGACCGGCGCACGGGUGAGUAACGCGUAUGCAACUUGCCUAUCAGGAGGGGAUAACCCGGCGAAAGUCGGACUAAUACCGCAUGAAGCGAGGGACUCCCGCAGUGGGAAUAUUUGACUAAAGAUCCAUCGCUGAUAGAUAGGCAUGCGUUCCAUUAGGCAGUUGGCGGGU
rnacentral:rRNA from 1 species